rnacentral:rRNA from 1 species
UACGAAGGGGGCUAGCGUUGCUCGGAAUUACUGGGCGUAAAGGGCGCGUAGGCGGAUGUUUAAGUCGGGGGUGAAAGCCCGGGGCUCAACCUCGGAAUUGCCUUCGAUACUGAACAUCUUGAGUACGGGAGAGGUGAGUGGAACUCCGAGUGUAGAGGUGAAAUUCGUAGAUAUUCGGAAGAACACCAGUGGCGAAGGCGACUCACUGGCCCGUUACUGACGCUGAGGCGCGAAAGCGUGGGGAGCAAACAGG